rnacentral:rRNA from 1 species
AGCUCCAAUAGCGUAUGUUAAAGUUGUUGCAGUUAAAAAGCUCGUAGUUGAAUUUCGUCACCGGCUCUGGGUCCCUCUCGCGAGGCGUACUCAGCGCUUGUGACUUUGCCCUACUAGUGUGUGCGUUCGCGUGCACUCAUAGAGGGCGUUUACUGUGAGAAAAUUAGAGUGUUCAAAGCAGGCGUUUCGCUCGAAUACGUUAGCAUGGAAUAAUAGAAUAGGACGAGGGUUCUAUUUUGUUGGUUCUAGGACCGUCGUAAUGAUUAAUAGGGAUGGUCGGGGGCAUCAGUAUUCAGUAGUAAGAGGUGAAAUUCUUGGAUUUACUGAAGACUAACUGCUGCGAAAGCGUUUGCCAAGGACAUCUUCA